GUGGCGAAAUUGGCAGACGCGCUAGACUUAGGAUCUAGUGAGGCAACUCUUGAGAGUUCGAGUCUCUCCGACCGCACAA
rnacentral:tRNA from 1 species